UACGGGGGGGGCAAGCGUUGUUCGGAAUUACUGGGCGUAAAGGGCUCGUAGGCGGCCAACUAAGUCAGACGUGAAAUCCCUCGGCUUAACCGGGGAACUGCAUCUGAUACUGGAUGGCUUGAGUUCGGGAGAGGGAUGUGGAAUUCCAGGUGUAGCGGUGAAAUGCGUAGAUAUCAAGAGGAACACCGGUGGCGAAGGCGGAUCUCUGGGCCUGUCCUGACGCUGAGGCGCGAAAGCUAGGGGAGCGAACAGG
rnacentral:rRNA from 1 species